UACGAAGGGUGCAAGCGUUACUCGGAAUUACUGGGCGUAAAGCGUGCGUAGGUGGUUUGUUAAGUCUGAUGUGAAAGCCCUGGGCUCAACCUGGGAAUUGCAUUGGAUACUGGCAGGCUAGAGUGCGGUAGAGGAUGGCGGAAUUCCCGGUGUAGCAGUGAAAUGCGUAGAUAUCGAGAGGAACACCUGCGGCGAAGGCGGGUUGCUGGGCCGACACUGACGCUGAUGCGCGAAAGCCAGGGGAGCGAACGGG
rnacentral:rRNA from 1 species